AUCGAUAGCUCGAUUAGCUCAGUCGGCAGAGCGUGGUGCUAAUAACGCCACGGUCGCAGGUUCGAUCCCUGCAUCGAGCAACGAUAUUUUAAAAUAUUGUGA
rnacentral:tRNA from 1 species